rnacentral:rRNA from 1 species
UACGUAGGGGGCAAGCGUUGUCCGGAAUCAUUGGGCGUAAAGAGCGUGUAGGCGGCCCGAUAAGUCCGCCGUGAAAGUCCAGGGCUCAACCCUGGAAUGCCGGUGGAAACUGUCGGGCUGGAGUCCGGAAGAGGCGAGUGGAAUUCCUGGUGUAGCGGUGAAAUGCGCAGAUAUCAAGAGGAACACCUGCGGCGAAGGCGGGUUGCUGGGCCGACACUGACGCUGAUGCGCGAAAGCUAGGGGAGCGAACGGG